AGCCAGACUCCUACGGGAGGCAGCAGUGGGGGAUAUUGCACAAUGGGGGGAACCCUGAUGCAGCGACGCCGCGUGGGUGAAGGAGUGCUUCGGCAUGUAAAGCCCUAUCGGCAGGGAAGAAGGAGGACGGUACCUGACUAAGAAGCCCCGGCUAACUACGUGCCAGCAGCCGCGGUAAUACGUAGGGGGCAAGCGUUAUCCGGAUUUACUGGGUGUAAAGGGGGCGCAGACGGCAGCGCAAGCCAGGAGUGAAAGCCCGGGGCCCAACCCCGGGACUGCUCUUGGAACUGCGCGGCUGGAGUACAGGAGAGGUAAGUGGAAUUCCUAGUGUAGCGGUGAAAUGCGUAGAUAUUAGGAGGAACACCAGUGGCGAAGGCGGCUUACUGGACUGUAACUGACGUUGAGGCUCGAAAGCGUGGGGAGCAAACAGGAUUAGAUACCCUAGUA
rnacentral:rRNA from 1 species